UACGUAGGGUGCAAGCGUUAAUCGGAAUUACUGGGCGUAAAGCGUGCGCAGGCGGCUUUGCAAGACAGAUGUGAAAUCCCCGGGCUUAACCUGGGAACUGCAUUUGUGACUGCAUGGCUGGAGUGCGGCAGAGGGGGAUGGAAUUCCGCGUGUAGCAGUGAAAUGCGUAGAUAUGCGGAGGAACACCGAUGGCGAAGGCAAUCCCCCUGGACCUGUACUGACGCUCAUGCA
rnacentral:rRNA from 1 species